rnacentral:misc_RNA from 1 species
GGUAAUGGGCCGCUCCACAUGUAGAUUAUUUUUCUUCUAUGCAAAUAUUUAUAUUUUUUUUCUGUGAGUGUAAAGUCGGAUGCGGUAAUGGGCCGCUCCACAUGUAGAUUAUUUUUCUUCUAUGCAAGUAUUUAUAUUUUUUUCUGUGAGUGUAAAGUCGGAUGCGGUAAUGGGCCGCUCCACAUGUAGAUUACUUUUCUUCUAUGCAAAUAUUUAUAUUUUUUUCUGUGAGUGUAAAGUCGGAUGCGGUAAUGGGCCGCUCCACAUGUAGAUUAUUUUUCUUCUAUGCAAGUAUUUAUAUUUUUUUCUGUGAGUGUAAAGUCGGAUGCGGUAAUGGGCCGCUCCACAUGUAGAUUAUUUUUCUUUUAUGCAAGUAUUUAUAUUUUUUUCUGUGAGUGUAAAGUCGGAUGCGGUAAUGGGCCGCUCCACAUGUAGAUUACUUUUCUUCUAUGCAAGUAUUUAUAUUUUUUUCUGUGAGUGUAAAGUCGGAUGCGGUAAUGGGCUGCUCCACAUGUAGAUUAUUUUUCUUCUAUGCAAGUAUUUAUAUUUUUUUCUGUGAGUGUAAAGUCGGAUGCGGUAAUGGGCCGCUCCACAUGUAGAUUAUUUUUCUUCUAUGCAAGUAUUUAUAUUUUUUUCUGUGAGUGUAAAGUCGGAUGCGGUAAUGGGCCGCUCCACAUGUAGAUUAUUUUUCUUCUAUGCAAGUAUUUAUAUUUUUUUCUGUGAGUGUAAAGUCGGAUGCGGUAAUGGGCCGCUCCACAUAUGUACAGUACGAUUUAUGCCUCAAUCUCUCCUUGCAUUGAUUAUGUUUUGAAUUGUUAAAAUAUGAUAAUAAAAAAUGAUAAUUUGGUAUUUGC